rnacentral:ribozyme from 1 species
GCAGAGGGCAGAGCGUAAUGCUCUGUAAUGCACGGUCCGGUCCCAAGUCCGG